UGGGGAAUAUUGGACAAUGGGCGAAAGCCUGAUCCAGCCAUGCCGCGUGUGUGAAGAAGGUCUUCGGAUUGUAAAGCACUUUAAGUUGGGAGGAAGGGCAGUAAGUUAAUACCUUGCUGUUUUGACGUUACCGACAGAAUAAGCACCGGCUAACUCUGUGCCAGCAGCCGCGGUAAUACAGAGGGUGCAAGCGUUAAUCGGAAUUACUGGGCGUAAAGCGCGCGUAGGUGGUUUGUUAAGUUGGAUGUGAAAGCCCCGGGCUCAACCUGGGAACUGCAUCCAAAACUGGCAAGCUAGAGUACGGUAGAGGGUGGUGGAAUUUCCUGUGUAGCGGUGAAAUGCGUAGAUAUAGGAAGGAACACCAGUGGCGAAGGCGACCACCUGGACUAAUACUGACACUGAGGUGCGAAAGCGUGGGGAGCAAACAGGAUUAGAUACCCCGGUAGUCCCUGAGCGGGCUGGCAAGGCGCAU
rnacentral:rRNA from 1 species